rnacentral:rRNA from 1 species
CGAGCGAACAGACGAGGAGCUUGCUCCUCUGACGUUAGCGGCGGACGGGUGAGUAACACGUGGAUAACCUACCUAUAAGACUGGGAUAACUUCGGGAAACCGGAGCUAAUACCGGAUAAUAUAUUGAACCGCAUGGUUCAAUAGUGAAAGACGGUUUUGCUGUCACUUAUAGAUGGAUCCGCGCCGCAUUAGCUAGUUGGUAAGGUAACGGCUUACCAAGGCAACGAUGCGUAGCCGACCUGAGAGGGUGAUCGGCCACACUGGAACUGAGACACGGUCCAGACUCCUACGGGAGGCAGCAGUAGGGAAUCUUCCGCAAUGGGCGAAAGCCUGACGGAGCAACGCCGCGUGAGUGAUGAAGUUCUUCGGAUCGUAGAACUCUGUUAUUAGGGAAGAACAAAUGUGUAAGUAACUAUGCACGUCUUGACGGUACCUAAUCAGAAAGCCACGGCUAACUACGUGCCAGCAGCCGCGGUAAUACGUAGGUGGCAAGCGUUAUCCGGAAUUAUUGGGCGUAAAGCGCGCGUAGGCGGUUUUUUAAGUCUGAUGGAAAGCCCACGGCUCAACCGUGGAGGGUCAUUGGAAACUGGAAAACUUGAGUGCAGAAGAGGAAAGUGGAAUUCCAUGUGUAGCGGUGAAAUGCGCAGAGAUAUGGAGGAACACCAGUGGCGAAGGCGGCUUUCUGGUCUGUAACUGACGCUGAUGUGCGAAAGCGUGGGGAUCAAACAGGAUUA